UAAUUAUUGACAGUGAUGAGGAAGGGGAGAAAAAGCCCUCUCCCCAACUUGUUCCUACACUGGAACAGGCCGCCGAGGAGGAUGAUGAAUACGAUGAGGCGGCAUUUAGUGACGACGAGCCAGAAUACCAUUUUGUCCGUCGCCAACCAGUGGAGGAGACACCUG